rnacentral:tRNA from 1 species
GAACUAUAUUUAAAUAUGUUUUGAAAACAUAUUUUGAGGUAACUCGUAGUUUU